CGGAGAGUUUGAUCCUGGCUCAGGACGAACGCUGGCGGCGUGCCUAAUACAUGCAAGUCGAACGAACUCUGGUAUUGGUUGGUGCUUGCAUCAUGAUUUACAUUUGAGUGAGUGGCGAACUGGUGAGUAACACGUGGGAAACCUGCCCAGAAGCGGGGGAUAACACCUGGAAACAGAUGCUAAUACCGCAUAACAACUUGGACCGCAUGGUCCGAGUUUGAAAGAUGGCUUCGGCUAUCACUUUUGGAUGGUCCCGCGGCGUAUUAGCUAGAUGGUGGGGUAACGGCUCACCAUGGCAAUGAUACGUAGCCGACCUGAGAGGGUAAUCGGCCACAUUGGGACUGAGACACGGCCCAAACUCCUACGGGAGGCAGCAGUAGGGAAUCUUCCACAAUGGACGAAAGUCUGAUGGAGCAACGCCGCGUGAGUGAAGAAGGGUUUCGGCUCGUAAAACUCUGUUGUUAAAGAAGAACAUAUCUGAGAGUAACUGUUCAGGUAUUGACGGUAUUUAACCAGAAAGCCACGGCUAACUACGUGCCAGCAGCCGCGGUAAUACGUAGGUGGCAAGCGUUGUCCGGAUUUAUUGGGCGUAAAGCGAGCGCAGGCGGUUUUUUAAGUCUGAUGUGAAAGCCUUCGGCUCAACCGAAGAAGUGCAUCGGAAACUGGGAAACUUGAGUGCAGAAGAGGACAGUGGAACUCCAUGUGUAGCGGUGAAAUGCGUAGAUAUAUGGAAGAACACCAGUGGCGAAGGCGGCUGUCUGGUCUGUAACUGACGCUGAGGCUCGAAAGUAUGGGUAGCAAACAGGAUUAGAUACCCUGGUAGUCCAUACCGUAAACGAUGAAUGCUAAGUGUUGGAGGG
rnacentral:rRNA from 1 species